GUGAGAAGGUCUAGGGUAGCCAGCUUUUGCUAAUUCAAGUGCCAUGAGUUCUUCCCAAGGUACAUCCCACAUGAUUUUACAGGGCUUCUUGUCCAUCUUAUCAGCAGACAAACACUGGAGAAGCAUGACCCGUUUAUUAGUCACCAAAACAAUCCGCGAAUAAGGAACCAUAAAAUGAUUUUCAUAAUAAUCAGAUAAGGCAAAUUUAGAAGGCUCUUUAAAAAGUUCAGUGCAACCAAAAUGGCGGCUCUCUUCAGCAAGGUGAAGUAUCACUUGACCCUGUGCUUCUCGCUCACUGUAAUCUCUAAGUAUAUUGUCUGCAUGAAUAGCACGGGGAUUUCUUAUCCUAUGGAAGGUGGUCUUGUUGCUAAGGAUUUCAAUGCAACGAGAACAACUUGCACCAAUCCCGUCGACAGUCAAUGAAAAGAAGUCCAAUGCUCCACUCACUGGUUGAGCAACGAACCCCACAACAGCUCGUCCAAGCCCAUGGGCAAAACCAAGAAGGCCAUGUUGUCUAGCACUCUCCACAGGCCUUGUCACUACCCCAGAAACUCCGAAUGCAACACCUUGUGCCAGGGCUUCAGUCCCUUGCCUGAUCCCUUCACCAACUCCAGUUAUUCUUCUUGACCAUAUCUGCUUUGAACGCAGCUGCAAAAACUGUCCAUCUGU
rnacentral:misc_RNA from 1 species